GACAUCAGUAUAAUAAGCCCAACGGGAGAAUGAUAUGGCAAUUUCUAAAUUUCCUAGAAGGAUCGCUCAGGAGGAUGGGCUUGAGCAGGCUGCCUUCCAUGUCACACCACCACUGGGCACAUUUUGUUUUUUGGCAACUGCCCCAACAGGAUUUUUUGUUCAUUCUGAAAAUCACAUCGCCAGAUCCAACACCUUUUUAUCCCAAUCACCAGUACAAGCCACCCGUAUCAGUGUACACUGUGGCUGACCGAUCCAUAGUGAUGCUUUGAGGUAGUCGUACAGUGUCCAGAAGGCAAAAGGACAAGUAUGCACUGCCCUACUUACCUACUUUCCACACUGCUGCACAGGAAAAUCUGACAGAGGACAAUAACAAACAUCUCACCAGCUCAUGCGUUCUUUUUUGAUCCUAAUUCCGAGAGACUCACCAAAGACAUGAAGAGAAAACAAACAAUACUUUUCUUGGAAAUAUUGUAAUUGCUGGUACAUUUGUUGUUCUGGCAUAAAGUAGAAAUUGUCAGGUAAACAUUGCUUCCUUUUGGAUCAAAAAGAAAUUUAACCAAAUAAAUGCAAGAGGUAUGAGGGAAGAUAAUGGGAAAUAAAUGAGAUUUGAGAAAUCAGUGGAGGUUCAAGUGGUUUUUUUUU
rnacentral:lncRNA from 1 species